rnacentral:tRNA from 1 species
GGCCUCGUAGAUCAGCUGGUAGAGCAUGUGCAUGCGAAGCUUAGGCGGCAUCAAUGCGUGGGUUCGAAUCCCACCUAGGCCA